GAUGAAGAACUUAGCGAAAUGCGAUAAGUAAUGUGAAUUGCAGAAUCCAGUGAAUCAUCGAAUCUUUGAACGCACAUUGCGCCCGCCAGCAUUCUGGCGGGCAUGCCUGUUCGAGCGUCAUUUCAACCCUCGACCUCCCUUUGGGGAAGUCGGCGUUGGGGACCGGCAGCACACCGCCGGCCCUGAAAUGGAGUGGCGGCCCGUCCGCGGCGACCUCUGCGUAGUAAACCAACUCGCACCGGAACCCCGACGUGGCCACGCCGUAAAACACCCAACUUCUGAACGUUGACCUCGAAUCAGGUAGGACUACCCGCUGAACUUAAGCAUAUCAAUAAGCGGAGGA
rnacentral:misc_RNA from 1 species